AAGAUCAACACCAGCAAUGCGGUUGUGAGUACGCCGUCUUCACCCACCUGACGGCUGCUCGCUACCUUGUGUGAGCU
rnacentral:sRNA from 1 species